rnacentral:rRNA from 1 species
AACGUAGGGCGCAAGCGUUAUCCGGAAUUACUGGGCGUAAAGCGCGUGUAGGCGGGUGUGUAAGUCUGUGGUGAAAGCUCGCGGCUAAACUGGGGGAGGUCGAUGGAAACUGCAAGGCUGGAGGUUGGCAGAGGAAUGUGGAAUUGCGCGUGUAGUGGUGAAAUGCGUAGAGAUGCGGAGGAACACCAGUGGCGAAGGCGGCAUUCUGGGCCACAACUGACGCUGAGACGCGAAAGCAUGGGUAGCAAACGGG